GACAGAGGGUGCGAACGUUGUUCGGAAUUACUGGGCGUAAAGCGCGUGUAGGUGGCAUCGCAAGUCGGGUGUGAAAGCCCGGGGCUCAACCCCGGAAGUGCAUUCGAUACUGCGAAGCUAGAGUCUCGGAGAGGAUGGUGGAACUCUCGGUGUAGAGGUGAAAUUCGUAGAUAUCGAGAAGAACACCGGCGGCGAAGGCGGCCAUCUGGACGAUGACUGACACUGAGACGCGAAAGCGUGGGGAGCAAACAGG
rnacentral:rRNA from 1 species